rnacentral:lncRNA from 1 species
UUGAAAAGGAAUUUGAUAAAGGAAAUUGAUAGAUAAUGUUAACUCUUAUGAGGAUUCAUCCAAGUCAGUAAAAACGUCAGAAAAAUGUUAGCAUUCAUGAUGAAAUUAAUACUGAGGAAAUAAACAUAAACAGUGAAUUAUAAAACUGAAAUUUCCAGCCCAUAUUCGACCAUUUUGGGGGCUGAAAUUGCUGCGAACUGCUGCCCCAUUCCUUAUGGGUUUUAACCCAAUUUUGCUCUUCAUGUUUCAGCAUUUUGAGCUGUUGCUGCUGCUGUUUUAGUGAACUUUUGAGAGUCCAAAAAUCAUCAAUUUUCAGCCUUUUCAAGGCUGCUGCUGCUGCUGCUUCGUUAAUGAUGGGUUUUAACCCAAAUUUUUGCUCCUCAUUUUAGCUCUUUGGAGCUACUGUCGCUGCCACUGAUCCGCCGGUAUUACUUGGUUUAAAGGAGGGUCGACUCAGAGAGAAAAAUGCAAGAGAUAGGGAGUCCAAAUGAACUCGAAUAAGAGAGUGUUCAUGCGAAGGAGAAAGAGGAAACAGAAAUUAGAAUCAAUACGAAAUCAUAUUAAGCUAAAGCUGAUAACUUAAUAUGCCUAUGGUGACUGUAAAUGUGCAAAAUUUAAAGCAUCUAUUCAUAUUAAAAUUUAACAGUACAUUAGAGACCAUAUUAGGCAUUACAAGCAGACACCAAAUCUAAGAAAAGAAACUCCCUUUAUUUUAAAUCAAUGUAUACGCAUAAUAUGUCGCUCAAAUUUAUUGACAACAAAUCCUUGAGUUCAAAAGAAUUUCAAAGGAAACAUGGUGAGUUAACUUGUUGCCAAAUCGACCAAAAAUAACAGAUCAUAUAACCAUUAAUAAUUCAUAGUCUCUCAAAUCUGAUAAUAUGGUGAACCGGACAGAUUUUCAAAGCAAAGAAAGCUAAACAAAUAUAUCCAAACUCAAACUAGUCUUUAAAGCAUAGGAUUUAAAGAGAUAGUUAGAGCAAAAGACUACCACAAAAAGCUUUACGAGGAGAUGAGCAGGGAACAUUCAAUACUAAAUAAUACAUCUCAAAUAAUCUGUUUAAGACACAAAAUGGAAAGGAACUGCUAGAUGAGCUCACAUUUAGAAAUCAAAAGACACCGACAUCUAUUUUGAGAAGCAAAGAGACCUUGAAAUAAUUUGCAUUAUACGGAGGAAUUAAAAGAAAACUUAACCAACCAAACUAAAAAAAAGAAGAUGUCUAACAUAAGACAAACAAGAAGCUUCUUAUCCAUUUCCAAUACAAUUAAGGAAACUAAAACUAUUAAGAGCAAAUCACGGGCAUUUAAGAAACUAUAGAGACAAGAAUAAGAUACUAAGACCUUAGUUUUAAAUCUAAUUAACCAAUUUACAUAUUCGCGUUUUCAAAUCAGUGAACUGUUAGACAUAAAACAAGAAUUUAGCAUCUACACUAGAAAUUAACACCUAGAGUAGAAACCAUACAAAACAUGGAUAAGUAGUGCAGUACAGGAAACUUAACAGCACAAAAAUAAAGAAAAUUAUGAGACUAAACCCAUAUAAAACAACAAAGAAAUUAUACUAUCCAAAUGCUCGAAUCAACUCAAGGAGAAAAAAAAAUAAAAAUUUACCUUUCGCCGAGCAGCGAACCAAGACGAAGAGCUCGAGAAAAACACCACACCUUCAACUCGACAACCAAGACAAGAGAAUUUUGAACUAUGAACUGAGAGCUCCCAAAACCUUUUCGAGGGUGCUCUUCAGUCUCCCCAAAAAACCCGUCCCCUUGAACAGUGAAUGGGGUGGGUUUAUAUAGAAACCCAAGAAUCCCAAAAAUGGACGAAAUAUCGAUGUGGGACUGUUGCAAAUUGAAAAUCAUUUGAGAAGCGAUGUGGGAGAGGCCGAAACCUCCAAUUUUCGCAGUGAAUAAAGUGCAAGAGCUGGAGAGUGUACGAAUUUGCAACGAAAUUGAAAAGGAAAAAGGAAAUUGGAAUGGACCACACCAUGGUUGCCUCCGGAACCUCCGCGUGUCUUUAUGCUCGUGCUAAGCACGCGGAUUGUACGAAUUAUGAAGUAGAAAAGGGGAAAUUUGAGGCGGCAAAUUGGAUUUGGGAGUUAGAAUUCAUAAGGCUGCUGGUGC